ACAGGCAAGCAAAUAUUUAUCAGUUUGACUAGCUACAGUUCAUUGAGGGCGCUUUGCACCAAACGUUGGAAAUUUUCUGUUUUGAAAGUAGUCACGUAUGUGAUCCGACGAUGCCAUUUAUUUUUCCUAAAUUUUGCAUACGGGCCCAAUAACACACCCCUCUGCCAGGAGUCUCCUACCAACAUGAGGACAUGGAUGAAACCGGUCUUUGAUCCUCCCCCAGAACCCCUCAGCCAGGAGUCUCCUACCAACAUGAGGACAUGGAUGAAACCGGUCUUUGAUCCUCCCCAGACACCCCUCAGCCAGGAGUCUCCUACCAACAUGAGGACAUGGAUGAAACCGGUCUUUGAUCCUCCCCCAGAAACCCCUCAGCCAGGAGUCUCCUACCAACAUGAGGACAUGGAUGAAACCGGUCUUUGAUCCUCCCCAGACACCCCUCAGCCAGGAGUCUCCUACCAACAUGAGGACAUGGAUGAAACCGGUCUUUGAUCCUCCCCCAGAAACCCCUCAGCCAGGAGUCUCCUACCAACAUGAGGACAUGGAUGAAACCGGUCUUUGAUCCUCCCCCAGAAACCCCUCAGCCAGGAGUCUCCUACCAACAUGAGGACAUGGAUGAAACCGGUCUUUGAUCCUCCCCAGACACCCCUCAGCCAGGAGUCUCCUACCAACAUGAGGACAUGGAUGAAACCGGUCUUUGAUCCUCCCCAGACACCCCUCAGCCAGGAGUCUCCUACCAACAUGAGGACAUGGAUGAAUCUGGUCGUUGAUCCUCCCUCAGACACCUCUCAGCCAGGAGUCAACUAUGAGUGAUGUAGAAAGAUCUAGGAUGAAAGGAGAAAGAGCGCUGCCAAGGAAGGAAGCCUGUGUAUUAUACCAUGGGAUCAAUGAACAACCAUCACCAGCAUCGGGCAAGCCAGUUGGAAGGGUUAGGUGACGAACCCAACCGCCCUAAGACCGUGCCCAACAGUGCUACCUGGCGGGGAGUCCUGACUCCAGUGUUGCGACCUCUAGGAGUGAUUCGAGGAUGUCCAGUCUGUCCGAUGCUAAGGGUAUGUCUGCGUCACCGAGCGGGUCACAGACGUCUUUCCAGAUGGUCAGUGGUUCUGAUGGACAUGCUUCUGUGGAACCGUCUCUUAUGGAAGAUAGGCCAGUCCUGCCUCCAAUUCAGCCUGGACAGAACUCAUAGCCUCAGAUCAGCCUCCAGGUCUCUUCUGCUCUCUGGAUUGAGACCUUAUUCUCUCAGUUUAGCUUGGUAUUUAUACAAUGUCUAUAGCAUUUUCAUUAUUUAAUAAUGUACAAUGAAAUAGCAUUGUAGAUAAUGCCUCAGUGGAAUAGUGCUGGCACA